GAACGCCGGCGGUGUGCCUAAUACAUGCAAGUCGUACGCACUGGCCCAACUGAUUGAUGGUGCUUGCACCUGAUUGACGAUGGAUCACCAGUGAGUGGCGGACGGGUGAGUAACACGUAGGUAACCUGCCCCGGAGCGGGGGAUAACAUUUGGAAACAGAUGCUAAUACCGCAUAACAACAAAAGCCACAUGGCUUUUGUUUGAAAGAUGGCUUUGGCUAUCACUCUGGGAUGGACCUGCGGUGCAUUAGCUAGUUGGUAAGGUAACGGCUUACCAAGGCGAUGAUGCAUAGCCGAGUUGAGAGACUGAUCGGCCACAAUGGAACUGAGACACGGUCCAUACUCCUACGGGAGGCAGCAGUAGGGAAUCUUCCACAAUGGGCGCAAGCCUGAUGGAGCAACACCGCGUGAGUGAAGAAGGGUUUCGGCUCGUAAAGCUCUGUUGUUGGAGAAGAACGUGCGUGAGAGUAACUGUUCACGCAGUGACGGUAUCCAACCAGAAAGUCACGGCUAACUACGUGCCAGCAGCCGCGGUAAUACGUAGGUGGCAAGCGUUAUCCGGAUUUAUUGGGCGUAAAGCGAGCGCAGGCGGUUGCUUAGGUCUGAUGUGAAAGCCUUCGGCUUAACCGAAGAAGUGCAUCGGAAACCGGGCGACUUGAGUGCAGAAGAGGACAGUGGAACUCCAUGUGUAGCGGUGGAAUGCGUAGAUAUAUGGAAGAACACCAGUGGCGAAGGCGGCUGUCUGGUCUGCAACUGACGCUGAGGCUCGAAAGCAUGGGUAGCGAACAGGAUUAGAUACCCUGGUAGUCCAUGCCGUAAACGAUGAGUGCUAGGUGUUGGAGGGUUUCCGCCCUUCAGUGCCGGAGCUAACGCAUUAAGCACUCCGCCUGGGGAGUACGACCGCAAGGUUGAAACUCAAAGGAAUUGACGGGGGCCCGCACAAGCGGUGGAGCAUGUGGUUUAAUUCGAAGCUACGCGAAGAACCUUACCAGGUCUUGACAUCUUGCGCUAACCUUAGAGAUAAGGCGUUCCCUUCGGGGACGCAAUGACAGGUGGUGCAUGGUCGUCGUCAGCUCGUGUCGUGAGAUGUUGGGUUAAGUCCCGCAACGAGCGCAACCCUUGUUACUAGUUGCCAGCAUUAAGUUGGGCACUCUAGUGAGACUGCCGGUGACAAACCGGAGGAAGGUGGGGACGACGUCAGAUCAUCAUGCCCCUUAUGACCUGGGCUACACACGUGCUACAAUGGACGGUACAACGAGUCGCAAGCUCGCGAGAGUAAGCUAAUCUCUUAAAGCCGUUCUCAGUUCGGACUGUAGGCUGCAACUCGCCUACACGAAGUCGGAAUCGCUAGUAAUCGCGGAUCAGCAUGCCGCGGUGAAUACGUUCCCGGGCCUUGUACACACCGCCCGUCACACCAUGGGAGUUUGUAACGCCCAAAGUCGGUGGCCUAACCUUUAUGGAGGGAGCCGCCUAAGGCGGGACAGAUGAC
rnacentral:rRNA from 2 species